GAUGAACGCUGGCGGCGUGCCUAAUACAUGCAAGUCGAGCGAACAGACGAGGAGCUUGCUCCUCUGACGUUAGCGGCGGACGGGUGAGUAACACGUGGAUAACCUACCUAUAAGACUGGGAUAACUUCGGGAAACCGGAGCUAAUACCGGAUAAUAUAUUGAACCGCAUGGUUCAAUAGUGAAAGACGGUUUUGCUGUCACUUAUAGAUGGAUCCGCGCCGCAUUAGCUAGUUGGUAAGGUAACGGCUUACCAAGGCAACGAUGCGUAGCCGACCUGAGAGGGUGAUCGGCCACACUGGAACUGAGACACGGUCCAGACUCCUACGGGAGGCAGCAGUAGGGAAUCUUCCGCAAUGGGCGAAAGCCUGACGGAGCAACGCCGCGUGAGUGAUGAAGGGCUUCGGAUCGUAAAACUCUGUUAUUAGGGAAGAACAAAUGUGUAAGUAACUAUGCACGUCUUGACGGUACCUAAUCAGAAAGCCACGGCUAACUACGUG
rnacentral:rRNA from 1 species